rnacentral:tRNA from 1 species
AGUGAUGUGGCUCAGUGGUAGAGUGCACACCUAGCAUGCAUGAGGCACUGGGGCACUGGGUUCUAUCCUUAGCACCGCAU